UAUAAGAACAGUUGUGGAUUUCCGUAUCCAACGUUUUACCAUCCGUCUUAUUUGGAAAAAAAUAUGAUUAGUAUUUUUAUUGAUAAUAGAUGAUAAAACAUGAAUAUUACUUUAUGUGUAACUAUUUUUUUUUAAUUUUUUUCAUAUUUUUUUUCAAAUGAGAUGGACCGUCAAAAAUUAGACACGGAAACCCACAACUACACAUAUA
rfam:Oryza nivara chromosome 3, whole genome shotgun sequence.